rnacentral:SRP_RNA from 1 species
GCCAGGUGUGGUGGCGCACUCCUGUAGUCCCAGCUACUCGGGAGGCUGAGGCGGGAGGAUCACUUGAGCCUGGGAGGUGGGGGCUGCAGUGAGCUGAGAUUAUGCCAUUGCACUCCAGCCUGGGUGAAAGAGUGAGACUCUGUCUCAA